GACGAACCGUGCGAACGUUAUUCGGAAUCACUGGGCUUAAAGCGCGUGUAGGCGGGACGGCACGUCUGUCGCUGAAAUCCCCCGGCUCAACCGGGGAACGGGCGCGGAUACGACCGUCCUGGAGGGGCGUAGGGGGACCUGGAACUUCCGGUGGAGCGGUGAAAUGCGUUGAGAUCGGAAGGAACGCCCGUGGCGAAAGCGAGGUCCUGGACGCUUACUGACGCUGAGACGCGAAAGCCAGGGGAGCGAACAGG
rnacentral:rRNA from 1 species